UAAGAAGAUUCAUUGUAGAAUUAGUAAGUAUAGAAUUCUAUUAUUUAGGAAUUCUAAUAUUAUUAUAUUUAGGAUUUCUAUUAGGUUUAUUAUUAUUUUUCUAGUUUAAGUUUAGAAUUCUUAAUUAAUAUUGAUUUAGUAUUUUGUUGUUUAAGGGUUUCUAAUCCUAAUAUAAUUACGGUUGCAAAAAUCUACAAAUAGGGCCUAGGAUCUAUGCAUAUUUAGAUAUGAUUAUUAUGAUUACUGAAAUUUGAGAAUGAAAUAAAAAUUUGACAAUUAGUUUCUCUUGAUUCCUUUUUUCUUCUUGUUUUAGAGUUUUAUUAAUUAAGUAUUAUAAUGAACUUAAAAUAUGAAAAUAAUAAUAAACCUAAUAGA
rnacentral:misc_RNA from 1 species